AUGUUGGCGAGGGUGGUCGCGGCGGCCGUCCUGGCGCUCGCCGCCGUCGUGGCGUCGGCGUCCGCGGCGGCGGCCGGCGACGCCACGUAUCCGGUUCGGUGGGAGGUCGGGUACAUGACGGUGGCGCCGCUCGGCGUCUCGCAGAAGGUGAUUGCAAUCAACAACCAGUUCCCUGGGCCACUCCUGAACGUGACAACCAACUGGAACGUGAGGGUGAACGUCCAAAACAACCUGGAUGAGCCUCUCCUCCUCACCUGGGAUGGCAUCCAGAUGAGGAUGAACUCAUGGCAGGACGGCGUCGCCGGCACCAACUGCCCAAUCCCUCCCGGAUGGAACUGGACCUACCAGUUCCAGCUCAAGGACCAGAUCGGAAGCUUCUUCUACUUCCCUUCGCUCGGCCUACAGCGGGCUGCCGGCGGCUACGGCCCCGUAACCGUCAACAACCGCGCCAUUGUGCCCGUCCCCUUCAACCAGCCUGAUGGCGACAUCACCUUGUUCAUCGGAGAUUGGUACACCAAGAGCCACACGGAACUGAGGGACAUGCUAGAUGAUGGCAAGGAUCUUGGGAUACCUGAUGGGAUUCUGAUAAAUGCAAAGGGCCCUUACAGAUAUGACACCACACUGGUUCCAGAAGGCCUUCAAUAUGAGAUUGUUGGAGUUGAACCAGGCAAAACAUAUCGCUUCCGCGUUCACAAUGUUGGCACCUCAACCAGCCUGAACUUCAGAAUCCAGAACCACAACAUGCGUCUCGUAGAGGCUGAAGGAACAUACACUUAUCAGCAGAAUUACACCAACCUCGACAUACAUGUCGGACAGUCGUACUCUUUCUUGGUGAGCAUGGACCAAAAUGCAAGCACAGACUAUUACAUUGUGGCAAGCCCGAGGUUUGUGAGCAGCGAAGCUCGCUGGCACGAUGUCAAUGGUGUAGCAAUCCUGCAGUACUCAAACUCCAAAGGCAGUGCUUCUGGCCCCCUCCCUGAUGCUCCAGAUGACUUCUACGACAAGUACUAUUCCAUGAACCAGGCAAGGUCUAUCAGGAUGAAUGUGAGUUCCGGUGCUGCACGUCCAAAUCCACAGGGAUCAUUCCGCUACGGCUCGAUCAACAUCACGCAGACCUUUGUCUUGAAGAACGAGUCGCCCUUGCGCAUUGACGGGAAGCGUCGAAGGACGAUAAACAGAGUGUCAUACUCACCUCCUGAGACUCCACUGAGGCUUGCUGAUCUCCACAACCUUACUGGGGUCUACAAAACUGACUUCCCCACAAUGCCAAGCAAUGCGCCACCAAGGAGGGCUUCAUCUGUGCUAAAUGCUUCUUACAAGGGCUUCCUCGAGAUGGUCUUCCAGAACAAUGAAACCGAUGUUCAGACCUACCAUCUGGAUGGUUAUUCAUUCUUUGUAGUCGGGAUGGACUAUGGUGAGUGGACGCCAAACAGCAGGGGUUCAUACAACAAGUGGGAUGCCAUCUCUCGCAGUACUACACAGGUCUUCCCAGGAGGGUGGACUGCGGUUCUGGUGUCGCUCGACAACGUAGGCAUCUGGAAUAUACGUGCCGAAAAGCUGGACAAUUGGUACAAUGGGCAAGAGGUUUAUGUGAAAGUUGCUGAUCCACUGGGCUACAACGUCACCGAAAUGAUCGCUCCAGACAACACUCUCUACUGUGGUCUGCUGGAACACUUGCAAAAGCCACAGAUACAUGAGACAAGCAAGAAGUCAUCAGGGCAUGCCGUAGCUCGAUGGAGCACCCAGCUUCUCGCAACCGUGUCAUUGAUUGUCACGGCUGUGAUUGGCAGUUAA
rnacentral:rRNA from 1 species